AGUUACUUUAUUUUUAAUCUGGCCAUUGGUAACCAACGUCUUAGGCUAUUUUCUUGGAUUUAAUAAAGUCCAUGGAUGUGUUUGCAUGGGUUUAGAGAUGUUGUUACCAAUAACCAAAGAACUGUUUAGACACACUCACUAAGGGAAGCACAGGGACAUGACCAUGAGUGGUAUUGCUUUUGGAUUUGCUACUUUGGACUACCUUAACUUUUUUAUUUAUGAGUGCAUUAUUUCUUUUUUAGGAAUACCCCAGAGCUCCUAACCCAGAUAUGAAAAAACAAGAGUUUGAUUUUAUUAUGUAUUGAGUAUGAACCAAAACUUGGAAUUGUUUUUUCAAACCUGAUAAGCAGAAUUGGCAUAUUUAAUUUUUUUACUAUACUCUAUUUUGUCAGUAUUUGGAAGUACUGAAAAAAACAUUCUAAAAUACUUGUUUCGGUUUCUAAUGGUUACAUUUUGCACUCUUAAUUUUUGAUAAGAUACAAAGAUAACCUGUCCUUUGGGCCAAUUCAGUCACAUUUUGACAUUAGAACUAGAUAUGUCUGACAACUUUCUAGAAGCAGAGGAUCCAGCUAUUCGAUCAUAUUUCUCCUACCCCAUGUAAGAUUCUAUUUUUAAAAGUUAGGCUAAGAACUUUGCAAUAUAUAUGUGUAACUUUGGAUAUGUGGAUAUAUGCACAUAUGUGUGUGUUUGCGUGUGCGUGCGUGUGUGUGUGUGUCUUCAGAGACGGUUAGGUUGAGUUCCAAAACUAGACUUGAGAAUCUCUGGUGUGUAUGCACAUUUGCUUGAUAAUUGUGUACUCUGGCGCGUCUAUAUAUAGUUUACAGUGGGUAUCAACCUUUUAAAAUGUAUUAUUAGUACUCAGAAGUUGUGAAACAGAAUUUUAAAGCUUAGAAGUUUGUACUAGAUGCUGAAACUGCAUGACGAGUAUCUAGUGUCUUAACUAAUUAAAUAGAUCUGUUGUAUUUGUUUUCUUGUUGGAUAGAAUAACAGUUAAUCAUUUUUAGAAGAGUUUUAGAUUACUUGCCAUAAAAUUUUUAUGUGUCUUAGCUCUUGGUAGUUUAGGAACAAAGGUGGCAUUUAACUAGUCCUUUUCCUUUGAUGUUGCUAAGGCAUCUGAAAACUUAAUGGUAUUAUUUCAAGUUCACAUAAACCUAAAGAAGUUAAGCAUAGUAACCUGUGCUUAAACAGUUAGUUAAAUAUAGGAGGUUUUAUUUGAAAAGAUAAAACGAUUAUCUAAAUUAUAUCUUGUUUUUAAGUGACAAAAGUGAAUUCAGUAUUUUUUCCUUUAAAAAACUAUGAUCUCUAAAGACUAUAAGAUAUAAAAAGAAUAACAGUUUUAAUUUCCCAGAAAUUAAAAGUUGUACUUAAAAGUCUCAGACAAUUUCCUGAACAGGAGUAAUAAAGAAUAUAUUUUAAUAUAUAAUAUAUGAUCAAGAGCUCCUGGGAUAUAGCGUUAGAAAGGAUAACUUGUUAGAAUAAAAAGAAUCCUCACCUUAAGAGAUGAGGUAAUGGGGAGCCGAACAUCUAGAAGAGGCAUAGAUACCAAGGGUGCCCUGUAGGUUGCUUUGAGGACAAAAGAGAAGGAGGAGAUUACUGGGGGCCAGGGGAGGUGAGGGGGAUGGUACUGCGGACUGUCCAGCCAGGUCAUUAUAAACAGGUAGUUUGCCAGUAGGACAACUGAAUUCUCAUAAGCAAGACCAGAUCGUAUUGGGAAAUGAAAUCUAUUAAAGAGUGUUCUGAAAUACUCCAGCAAGACUUUCUGGUAGUUUUCCUACUCCCAAGAAGAAGAAGAAAAGUUACAAAAACUGCUUUUUGAAACUUAAAUUUAACCACAGAGGAAGAAUUGGUUGAUCAAGCAGAAGAAAUGUGUAUCUUGGGGAAAGAGUUCUACCAUCUCAAUUCUGAGAGGCCAGGUCAAGGAGUAAUGAUAGAGUGUCUAAACUGCUGUCAGGGAAAUCAGGGUGCAGUGUUACUCAGAGGAAAAUACCAGAGACCUGUGGCCUGACACAGAAAAAAAUGUUGAAAGCUUAGAGUUCUUUACUGUCUAUCAUAGAUAACAGUUGUUACUUAACUGCAAAAGAUUACAGUGAGGAACAUAGGAUCCAAAACAAUUUUUCUAGAAAUGUGUCUGGGGGAGUUUUCAGAAUAUGUAUACCUAGGGUCUUCAUGCCAGUGGUGGGAAGUAUUUCCAGGUAAUUCCUCAACUAAUUUUCCCACUGAUUUAAAAGGAUCAGCGUGUGUCCCUGACAGUUAUCGAGUUUCUGGCCCCAAAGGUAGUAAGUCUUGUUUGCGUUUUCUUCUCUCAAAUGCUUUAAAUAUACCACUUUACUCCCAUCCCUCAAAUUCUCAUUACAAAUUUGAUGGCAAAGUUAUCACUGUUACUAAACCUUGCAGAAUUAUAAAGAAAAAAAUAUAAGGUACUCAAAGUUUGGAUACUGCCAGAUACCUUGUUUUUCAAAAGGCAAAAAGUAGAUUCUGCAAAGUAUAAGAUACAAUAACUCUUGAUAAAAUUCUAAAAUGAAUUUAUUAGAUGGAUGCCUUGUGCACUCAUAGGGGUCACCGGGAGUUGUAGGACCACUAUAACCAAGGUGGUUUUCUGUUUUUACUAGGAUUCUGAACUUGUCAAUCUGUAGAAUGCAGCCAGACUAGCAAUUCUCAAUCUGUUUGCUGACUCUGUUUUUGCAAAAUAUGUUCUGUGGUCAAAUAAGUUUGGAAAAAAUUUAAACCAAAUUAAGCAGGUUUCCUGGAGCUUUUAAUAUGAUAAUAUGCAGAGAUUAAACAAGGAAAAUAUAAAGCACAGUAUAGUAAAUACAGAAUUUGGCCAUAUCCUCCACUUCUCCUUUCUCUAAACUUGCCUGUAAAUAAGUACCCAUCAGAAGACUAUUUGGGGUGUUUGUUAACUGAACUUUAUGGGAAGAUAUUUUGAAACUUAUCUGAGGCUGGUUAUUUUUUUUUACAUCCUAUUUUACUAAUAGUCGAGAAUAUGAUGUGGAAACUUAGAAAUAAAUGACCAGUUUCUUGGGGGAAUGGAGUUUCAUGAGAAUCACUCUUUUAUAACCAUUGUGAAAAAAUUACAAACCUGCUUCUUGUAUACAAGUGGAUUCUCCUAGGAAAAAAAUGCAUUUGAUGAAACUAGUUUUUGUAAGGUCAUCAAAUCCCCUAAACUCAUACACGAGUAGAAAUUGUGUAAAAAUAUGAAAGUGAACUGAAAGAUUAUAUGGAGGCUUUUUCUUUCUGUUUAUAUCCGAACCACUUAAUUGCUAGAUUACACCUCCCCUGACUUCCACUUCAUCAGCCUUUGCUUUAGAAUUAAAUUGAAAGACAAACUUUAUAAGCACUUUUUCCUUCUGAAGAAAACUGCAAGAAAGUACUCUUUACUUAAUAUACUUUCAAUAUUUUUAAUCCUUCAAAUAACUGAAAACAAGUUGUUUAAUUAAGCCUGUUAUUAAAUUUAACUACGUCUUUUCUUUUGUCUUUUUAGGGCAACACCCUAGCAUAUGGAGGUUCCCAGGCUAGGAGUCUUGGAGCUGUAGCUGCUGGCCUAUAACACGGCCACAGCAAUGCCAGAUCUGAACUGUGUCUGCAACCUACACCACAGUUCACGGCAAUGCCAGAUCCUUAACCCACUGAGCGAGGCCAAGGAUCUAACCUGCAACCUCAUGGUUACUAGUUGGAUUAGUUUUUGCUGUGCCACGAUGGGAACUCCCAAAACUUUACUGCUAUCUAUUGUUAGCUUUAUACAUGACUGCAGAGGACUUGAUCCAAAACAAAUUAGAUGAGAAAUUAAUCCUUAAAUAUUGAAUAAAUGUUCUGAGCACCUACUUUAUACUGUGUUUUGGGGAUUUAACACAAUGAGCCAAACAUCUCUCAUGAAGAUCCCUCAUGAACCUUCUUCCUACAAUAGAAAGACAACAGAUGAUCAGCCUCACAAAUUAAAUAAGCGCCAUGCAGAAAAAGCAUGAAUCGUCAGAAGGCAAUAGAACCUAAUCUGGGAAGGUUGGGGAUGUCAUCCCUGAAGAUGAGACGUUUGAUCUACUGGUAGACAUAAAGGGAAGGAAGUCUGAGAAGGCAGAGAAUAGCACUCGUAGGCUGUGCAAAUGCCCUGAGAUAGGGGGCUGUAUAACCCAUCCUCAAUGAUAAUGGCCUCAUUAAGUGUAUACUAUAUGCCAAAUGCUGUUCCAAGCUUUCUUUAGUGCAUGAAUUUUUUCUUUACGAUGACUCUAUGAGAUUUGUACUGUUAUUACUCCCAAUUUACAGAAGAACAAAUUGAGGUCCAAAGAAAUAACUUUCCUCAGCAAGACUAGGCAUGUCUUACCUGAGAAAACUAACUGGCUAGAUAAAAGAUGAUGAAAGUAAAUGAGAUGUCCAUAUUUUCUUUAGAGAGGCAAUGGGGCUAAAUCUUGAUUAUUACGGAAACUUGUUGUAUAGGGUUUUUUUUGAACUGUUAUCUUAGUAUGUUUAAAUAUUUUCAUAAUUAAAAUUAGAGUAGGCAUAUGUAACUGAAGCUCAGAGUAGGAUGGAAAGAUGGACUGGGUCCUGAUCAUGCAGGGCCCUGAAGCCAUGUUCAAGAUUUUGGUCAUUAUCCUAAAAUACUCCUGAAGCAUUUCAGGCAAGGGAAUAGCAUGAUACCAUCCACUCUGAAUGGUGAGAUCACAAUGGCAGUAGUGAAAGCCGAGGAGGGGGCAGGAAAGCAUGAGUCUAUGCUGUAGUAACCAAGGUCAUGAAUGACACAGGUGGCACAUGCAGCAUGCUUUGAGCACAAGAGUGCCGGAAUAGUAAGAUAUGUGAAAUGUGCCUCUUAGAAACAUGCAGCAGAGACAGCAAAGGUGUUCUUUUGUCCCAGUCAAAAUUUUGGUUUUUUUUCUUUAUGAACAAGUGAUUAUCAGAGAUACUUUAAGUAAAACAUACAGCUGAGAAAUGAACAGAAAAUGACUAACCGAAGACGUUGACAGAAAAUUGAUUUUAAAAACAAAAUUAUUUUUAAAGCAUGUGAAGCUGCCAAAGAAAAAGCAUUAAAACUUUUUAAAACACCAAAGUGUUGUAUAUUUUAAAUAUAAACAUAAUAAAAAGAAAGUAUAAAAUGAGCAAUCAAUACUCCGUUGUCUUCGCAUAAGUACUUUAUCAAAGGCACAUUAAAACAGUUACAUUAGGUCGAAUGCCUGAUGUUUCCAAAGAUGCUUCUUGGGGCAGCUGCCCAGAGCAACUGUAACCUAACUACUUAUAUUUUGUAUUACUUGCUCUUUUCUCAGUCUCCUUCUCUCACAACCAAAUGGAUUUAGGGCCAACACCAGAUCUCAAGGAUGUUCAUUUGUAGAGAUAUGACAUAGCAAAUAAAAGAAAAAAACAGUCAAAUCUGAUCCUUGGGAUUUUAUAUUGUAAGAAAAAGAUUUGCAAAUUGAGGAGUUCCUGUUGUGGCACAGCAGUGAUGAACCCAACUGGCAUCCAUGAGGACAUGGGGUCAAUCCCUGGCCUCACUUAGUGGGUUAAGGUUCUGGCAUUGCUGUGGCUGUGGUGUAGGCCAGCGGCUACGGUCCCAAUUCGACCCCUAGCCUGGGAACUUGUAUAUGUGACAUGUGCAGCCCUUAAAAAAAAAAAAUUGCAAUUUCAUAGUGGCAGAGAGGAUAGUGCAUUAAAAUGACUGUCUAGUUAAGUUACCUUAUUUCUAAGAGGGACUUUGUAACAUUUUAGACUCUGAACUAAGGCUACAUCUUACUGCGUAAGGAAUGAGUUUGCAUCAGAAUUACCUGCAAGCUUGAUAAAGCAUGUAUUACUGGGCUGCAUCCCCAAUUUCUGCUUUAGGAUUUUUUUAAAGAAGCCUACAUAUUUGCAUUUCUAGCAAUUCAGGCAAGACCACACUUUGGGAACCACUGAUCUAUUUCUUAACAUUUUCAGCCAGGUACGUGAAAACCUCUUGAUGCAGGUAAGACCAAGAGAGCACCAAGCAUCAAAGCAUCCUGGAUUCAAUGAAAUACUGUAUGAAAUUAUUUGGUGAUAUCUACUCAGUAAUCCUUUAUUUGUAAUCACAAAUGUGAGUAACUAUGAAGCAUGUGAUCACAGCAUACAGCUUUUUUAAAAAAAUUGUUAUAGUCUAGAUUUAUCUUUCCUUUAUAGCCUCAUUUAACAACUCUGUAUGUAUUCUUUUCUAUUUUCCCCAUAGCCUUAUAAUUUCUCUCUAUAGUUAAUAUAUGUAUAAAGAUGUAUUAAUUGUUUUUCUUAUAAAAACUGGGAUAAUACAAACAUUUU
rnacentral:lncRNA from 1 species